GGUUCACCCCCAAGAGAAUCCAGACUCCUCCUUGCCCAGUGAAGGUUCUUGUAAGUGGAUUCAUACCACGUAGCUCCUCUGGAAGCAAGGUCAACUCCAGGUCAACUAGAUCCUGGUCUUCUGUUUCGCUCUGCGAAGGCUGCAGCAAUGGAGCUGUGCUGUCUGUCAACACCCUCAAGGGAUGGAAUUCUGUGAGUCAAGAACCCAACAGGAGCUCAAAUGUGGAGUGUGAUGGAACAGAUUCUAAAAGGAAGAUGAGAAUCCUUAACUGUAUAUUUCCUAGAAAAUUUUUGAUAAGAAAUACUUGGAAGGCUGAGGUAAAUGAAGCAUCAUAGUUUCGAGGUCAGCCCAAACUAACACAGGAAAAUCCUGUCUCAAAACAUCGGAAAAAAGAGCCUGGCAGUUGUGGUGCACACCUUUUGUCCCAGCACUCAGGAGGCAGAGGCAGGUCCCGAGCCUUCACUCAGUAUCUGAUGGAAGCAGAAGCAGACACCCACAACAAAACACUGAGCCGAACUCCUGGAAUACAGUUGUUGAGAGGGAGGAGUGACGAACAAAGGAAUUAAUCCAUUUCUGCUGCCCACCACCAUAUGUUUUCCUCGUCACUUACGGUCUUUCCUGGAAUUCUGUGCACAUCAGAGUAUAAGUCAUACAAGAACUAGAGGUGAGAGCACUGGCUUGAGUCCCAGUUUACCAAGCACAUGCUGCUGAAAGCACAACAGUGGGCAGAGGACUGUGACAGCUCGCUCUCUGAAGUCGGUGUGUAUGGAAAUGUCUAGACUAAUUCUGUUGUUGAUGUCUCUCCUUGAUGUGUUGAGUCAUAAAGAUUAUAGUUGAAAUUGGAAUCAUUGCUUCUGGAUUUAAAAACAACUACUCGGGAAGCUGUUGAACUCGGUGAGUUUGAGAACAGCCUGGUCUACAGAGUGAGUUCCAGGACAGCCGGGGCUACACAGCGAAACCCUGUUUUGAAGAGAAAAAAAGAUUAGAGUGAGUCAUCCAUCUGCGUCUCCAGCCACUUCUCCAUGGCUUUGACAGGAUCCCAGAACCGAAACAGCAGAGUCACCAUGGACACAAAUGACUGAUGAUCCAAAUGCAAGCCCAGGAGCCUGAAAUCAUUUCUCUUUGAAAAGAAGGAUCCGGACCUGUUACUCCUUUGGCGGCUACAUGGAGACUGUUUCGGACCCUCUUCUGCCUACCUUUCCCAGAAUUCACCUCAUCUCCUAGUCCCACCUAUCUUCCUGCCUCAUUGGCUGAACAGUGUUUUAUUCAUUAACCAAUAAGAGAAACAUAUACAGGACAUCCCCCAUCAAGAAACUGGCUGGAAAUGCCAGGCGUGAUGACAUACACCUGUAAGCCUAGCACAUGGGAGGCUGAGGUACAAUAGAGAACCACAAGUUCCAGGCCAGCCUGAGCUAAAGAAUGAAGGCCUGUCUCAAAAAAAGGAACGGGAACUACAAAACAGCUCAGUGGUAGAAAGCUUGUGUAGUGUGUGAAAGGUCACAGAUUCAAUCCCAGGUUCAUAGUUGUUUAUUUUCAAAAAAUUAAAAUUGGGGCUGCCUUGCAUAAAACUGUAUGUGGUAUCCCAUGCCUGUAAUUCUAGCACUUGGAGGGUGGAGACAGGAGGAUCAGAAAUCCAUUAUUCUAAA
rnacentral:lncRNA from 1 species